GAUGAACGCUGGCGGCGUGCCUAAUACAUGCAAGUCGAGCGAACAGACGAGGAGCUUGCUCCUUUGACGUUAGCGGCGGACGGGUGAGUAACACGUAGGUAACCUACCUAUAAGACUGGGAUAACUUCGGGAAACCGGAGCUAAUACCGGAUAAUAUUUCGAACCGCAUGGUUCGAUAGUGAAAGAUGGCUUUGCUAUCACUUAUAGAUGGACCUGCGCCGUAUUAGCUAGUUGGUAAGGUAACGGCUUACCAAGGCAACGAUACGUAGCCGACCUGAGAGGGUGAUCGGCCACACUGGAACUGAGACACGGUCCAGACUCCUACGGGAGGCAGCAGUAGGGAAUCUUCCGCAAUGGGCGAAAGCCUGACGGAGCAACGCCGCGUGAGUGAUGAAGGUCUUCGGAUCGUAAAACUCUGUUAUUAGGGAAGAACAAACGUGUAAGUAACUGUGCACGUCGUGACGGUACCUAAUCAGAAAGCAACGGCUAACUACGUG
rnacentral:rRNA from 1 species